rnacentral:rRNA from 1 species
CAACAGGGAUUGCCUUAGUAACUGCGAGUGAAUCGGCAAAAGCUCAAAUUUGAAAUCUGACGUUUUUGACGUUCGAAUUGUAAUUUGGAGGAUAUCUUCGGAGCUGGCGCUGUUCUAAGUUCUUUGGAACCAGACAUCAAAGAGGGUGAGAAUCCCGUGCCUGAACGGCUGUCCCGCUCCAUGUGAAUGUCUCCGACGAGUCGAGUUGUUUGGGAAUGCAGCUCAAAAUGGGUGGUAAAUUUCAUCUAAAGCUAAAUAUUGGCGAGAGACCGAUAGCGCACAAGUAGAGUGAUCGAAAGAUGAAAAGCACUUUGAAAAGAGAGUUAAACAGUACGUGAAAUUUUGAAAGGGAAGCGCUUGAGACUAGAUUCGACCGGCGGUCAUCAGCUGCGUUUUUACGUGGUGCACUUGCCGUCGGUUGAGCCAGCAUCGGUUUCGAUGGCAGGAUAAAGGUUUCAGGAAUGUGGCUCCUCAAUUUCGAAGAGUGUUAUAGCCUGGAGCGCAAUGCUGCCUGUUGGGACCGAAGACCGCGCUUUUGCUAGGAUGCUGGCUAAAAGGUCU